rnacentral:rRNA from 1 species
UGGAGAGUUUGAUCCUGGCUCAGGACGAACGCUGGCGGCGUGCUUAACACAUGCAAGUCGAACGGAAAGGCCCUUCGGGGUGCUCGAGUGGCGAACGGGUGAGUAACACGUGGGUGAUCUGCCCUGCACUUUGGGAUAAGCCUGGGAAACUGGGUCUAAUACCGAAUAGGACUCCGGACUGCAUGGUCUGGGGUGGAAAGCUUUUGCGGUGUGGGAUGGGCCCGCGGCCUAUCAGCUUGUUGGUGGGGUGAUGGCCUACCAAGGCGACGACGGGUAGCCGGCCUGAGAGGGUGACCGGCCACACUGGGACUGAGAUACGGCCCAGACUCCUACGGGAGGCAGCAGUGGGGAAUAUUGCACAAUGGGCGCAAGCCUGAUGCAGCGACGCCGCGUGGGGGAUGACGGCCUUCGGGUUGUAAACCUCUUUCAGCACAGACGAAGCGCAAGUGACGGUAUGUGCAGAAGAAGCACCGGGCAACUACGUGCCAGCAGCCGCGGUA